UCAACCGUCAGACACAACAUGUAUCCUGACCAGACGGGCACUUUGCCUUUGUGUUUACCUUGAAGGUCCUCGGAGAGCGUGACAUCUAAAGAAUUAGAAGCAAUGGGUGUUUUAAUGCCAUGCUAAAAACAAACGGCCCGUUGGUCUAUGCGCAGGGGAAAACACUAUCAAACUAGGGCAAUCAGGGACAAGAAUGACCCUGCAGACUGUAGACUCAGAGCACUCAACGUAUAACCCACUUGCCUUGCACGCAAACACAUAGGUUAGCCUACCCAAAUCUCUUGUUGUAGCACCACCACGUGGACAGAUGUUACUGUUAUCUUUGGAAGCAACAUUGUCCUGUUUCGUGGUUUUCAUCGUGGCAAUGGAGGAUCUAUGAUCCGUGAAAACAAAGAAUGAGCAUUUGAAAAAAACACAUUGGAUUAUAUAAAUUGUAUCCAGCCGAUUGUUACUCAAGAUGAGAGAGAGAGGGUAUGGAGCCAUCAUCCUUGCCAUGCUACAUUAGGAGAAUCAACACUGUGGCUUGGCCGGGCCAGGAGUGGCUACCCUGAGACAAGGACAGUAACCGGCUUGUCUCAAGGCUCAAGGCUGCCCGGUGAACAUGCCCUCACGACAGACCUCGACUGGUUGAGCUGGUGAUCUCUCCUGUCCUG